CUCAAAUAUUUUUAAACUUUUAUGUUUAUACCUCAUUUUAUUUUGAUUCCUAUUUUACCCUUAUUAAUAAAUGGAGGCUAUUAUCCUCUAGAAAGCAAAUCGUUUUUUCUCUAACGUCGGAGGAGGAGCGCUAGCCUAGAACCUCGAGACGCUGCAACAAAGGGAAGAAGAUGACGGAUCCGCCAUCAGAGGUUUAAAAUUGGGCACUAAUUAGAUAUGUCAAUCCUCCAAAAAUUCCAGAAUAUUAUGAAUUUGGAGUUCCGUCACACGAAACAACUAGCAAAUACUUGCAGUGUGAACUGAAGAUAUACCUUGAGUUUGAGUUGUACUAAAUGUAUUAUAUCUUGUUGUUGUAAAUUUAAUUGAGAAUAUCACAGUGAAGUUGUAAUGUGGACGCUGCUGAACAGUUGGCAAUGAUGAUGAUAUGUUGGUCUAUGUAUAAACAUUGUCUUGUGAAAUCAUUCAUUUAGCAAAUUUCUCUCUUAUUUGGAAAAGAAGUUGUAAAUGGAUAUCAAAUUUAUGCAGAUAUGACUUUGGUUUUCU